rnacentral:lncRNA from 1 species
ACAACUGAGACUCUUAAAUGUGUGCAAUUAGCUAAAAAAGUAAACUCACUCUGGGGUAUAUUUGAUUUAGUAAGGCCAUUACAUAACAUGGCAAUGUCCAUAUAAUGAGUUCUUCCUUUUUCUUUUUUGGCCAAAAAAAUAGAGGAGUGACAGCAACUCUGCUUAUACUUCUUCAUGGUUAAAACUCUAGGCAUCUUAAAAGAAGCAUAUUCAGAUUCCUUUUCUUCUUUAGAUAACUGGAAUUAUCACAGUUAUAUUUACUGUAAUUUGGAUCUAACCUCAGUCAGUCAGCCAUCUGUUAAAAGCAGACAUCCUUUGCUCAAUCUUAUUUCUUUUAUUGUCUUAAUUACAUUUUCCUUUAUUAUUUAUUUAAAUGUAUAACCAGAUUUUUUCUUUAUAAUAAUAUAUCAAAAAACCCUCUCUAUGUAUUACAGCUUCUAUUCUAUAUAAUAAAAAAAACUAGGAGUAGUUUAUAUUAUACUAUUAAUUGGAUUCUUAAUUUAUACGUCUUCUAAGAUGAACUUAAUUAACUAAUUUGCACUUCACUUUCUGACCAAGAUAACACAAGUAAUUUCACCCAAUCUCUCUGCUACUUCAACUAAAAAAUAAGGAUAAUGAGUUGGCUCCAUCAUAAUAGGGAUAUAUGAAGAAUUGAAAGUGAACAUUUUUUGUCAUAAGAACCUUUUAUAAUCUACCAAUGUAAGUCUAUGGAAAGACUAAGUAUAAUAAAAGUGAAGAUGUUA